GACGAACGCUGGCGGCGUGCUUAACACAUGCAAUUCGAAUGGUGAACCUUUUCGGAGGGGAUCAGUGGCGAACGGGUGGGUAACACGUGGGCAACCUGCCCCCGUCGCUGCGAUAACUCCAGGAAAGUGGGGCUAAUACGGUCUGUUCGCCGCUUCCCGCAUCGGGGGUGGUGGAAAGGGUUUGCGGCGGGGGAUGGGCCCGCGGCCUAUCAGCUUGUUGGUGAGGUAGUGGCCUACCAAGGCGACGACGGGUAGCCGGCCUGGGAGGGUGACCGGCCAGAGUGGGACUGAGGAACGGCCGAGACUCCUACGGGCGGAAGCAGUGGGGGACGUUGCGAUAUGGGCGGACGGCUGACGUAGCGACGCCGAGUGGGGGAUAACGGCCUUGGGGUUGUAAACGUCUUUAAGGCCGGAAGAAGCGCAAGUGACGGUACCUGUAGAGGAAGGGCAGGCCAACUACGUG
rnacentral:rRNA from 1 species